rnacentral:lncRNA from 1 species
UUUAAUCCCCCUGUUACUGUUACAGAUAUAUCAACUUUGACUGAUUCACGUUUCAUUACUAGUUAUUGAAUAAAUCUUCCGGAAAGGGAGGAGUAGGAUUAGCUUUUACUGGUACGUGAUUUUUAGCUUUUGUUCAGCUCAAUACAUAUACCAACUAGCUUUCAAUAAAGUAUCAAAGACUAUUUUUGAUCAGUAAAUUAGGGUACCUGUUUGUCUAGUAGUACCAAUUUCAACAGUUACAUCCUUCAUCCUCCACCUUCAAUCUCUUGAUUACAAGCUAAUAGAGAAACACCAGUGGCUGAAUCUUUUUAGGGGCAUGCCAUUCUUAGAAAAACUGAAACAAAAAAAAACAAUUGACAUAGCACUUGCCGCCUUCGGUUAUUACAAUACACAUAAAAUCACCCCCAAUCGCUCUCGUCCCCAUCCAUUCCCCGCAUCGCCAAUUCCUAAGCUUCAUCUGCGAUUUCAAUUUGCCCUCAAUUUGGAUUCAACAUCUUUCACUGUCAAUCAUGGACGCUGAAUCGUGGUUGUUGUCUAUCUUCUACAUCCAAGUGUUACCAAUAUGUUCUUCAAUCCCAAUCGUCUGGUAAGAUUUAAUUUAGGGUUUCUUGUAAAAGAUCACAACGCCAAAUCUCACAGGAUGUAAGCUUUGACGUU